GAGGGCCAGAUACUGUAAACACCCUACACUCUCAGCUGUGCACAGUGAGAAAGCUGGGAGAAGGCUGUUUACUCUCUCUGCCUU
ensembl:miRNA MIR30C2 microRNA 30c-2